UUAAGCGACUAAGCGUACACGGUGGAUGCCCUGGCAGUCAGAGGCGAUGAAGGACGUGCUAAUCUGCGAAAAGCGUCGGUAAGGUGAUAUGAACCGUUAUAACCGGCGAUGUCCGAAUGGGGAAACCCAGUGCAAUUCGUUGCACUAUCGUUAACUGAAUACAUAGGUUAACGAGGCGAACCGGGGGAACUGAAACAUCUAAGUACCCCGAGGAAAAGAAAUCAACCGAGAUUCCCCCAGUAGCGGCGAGCGAACGGGGAGCAGCCCAGAGUCUGAAUCAGCUUGUGUGUUAGUGGAACGGUCUGGAAAGUCCGACGGUACAGGGUGAUAGUCCCGUACACCAAAAUGCACAGGCUGUGAACUCGAAGAGUAGGGCGGGACACGUGGUAUCCUGUCUGAAUAUGGGGGGACCAUCCUCCAAGGCUAAAUACUCCUGACUGACCGAUAGUGAACCAGUACCGUGAGGGAAAGGCGAAAAGAACCCCGGCGAGGGGAGUGAAAAAGAACCUGAAACCGUGUACGUACAAGCAGUGGGAGCACCUUCGGGUGUGACUGCGUACCUUUUGUAUAAUGGGUCAGCGACUUAUAUUCUGUAGCAAGGUUAACCGUAUAGGGGAGCCGCAGGGAAACCGAGUCUUAACUGGGCGUUAAGUUGCAGGGUAUAGACCCGAAACCCGGUGAUCUAGCCAUGGGCAGGUUGAAGGUUGGGUAACACUAACUGGAGGACCGAACCGACUAAUGUUGAAAAAUUAGCGGAUGACUUGUGGCUGGGGGUGAAAGGCCAAUCAAACCGGGAGAUAGCUGGUUCUCCCCGAAAGCUAUUUAGGUAGCGCCUCGUGAAUUCAUCUUCGGGGGUAGAGCACUGUUUCGGCUAGGGGGUCAUCCCGACUUACCAACCCGAUGCAAACUACGAAUACCGAAGAAUGUUAUCACGGGAGACACACGGCGGGUGCUAACGUCCGUCGUGAAGAGGGAAACAACCCAGACCGCCAGCUAAGGUCCCAAAGUCAUGGUUAAGUGGGAAACGAUGUGGGAAGGCACAGACAGCCAGGAUGUUGGCUUAGAAGCAGCCAUCAUUUAAAGAAAGCGUAAUAGCUCACUGGUCGAGUCGGCCUGCGCGGAAGAUGUAACGGGGCUAAACCAUGCACCGAAGCUGCGGCAGCGACACUAUGUGUUGUUGGGUAGGGGAGCGUUCUGUAAGCCUGCGAAGGUGNUGCUGGAGGUAUCAGAAGUGCGAAUGCUGACAUAAGUAACGAUAAAGCGGGUGAAAAGCCCGCUCGCCGGAAGACCAAGGGUUCCUGUCCAACGUUAAUCGGGGCAGGGUGAGUCGACCCCUAAGGCGAGGCCGAAAGGCGUAGUCGAUGGGAAACAGGUUAAUAUUCCUGUACUUGGUGUUACUGCGAAGGGGGGACGGAGAAGGCUAUGUUAGCCGGGCGACGGUUGUCCCGGUUUAAGCAUGUAGGCUGGUUGUCCAGGCAAAUCCGGAUAAUCAAGGCUGAGGUGUGAUGACGAGGCACUACGGUGCUGAAGUAACAAAUGCCCUGCUUCCAGGAAAAGCCUCUAAGCAUCAGGUAACAUCAAAUCGUACCCCAAACCGACACAGGUGGUCAGGUAGAGAAUACCAAGGCGCUUGAGAGAACUCGGGUGAAGGAACUAGGCAAAAUGGUGCCGUAACUUCGGGAGAAGGCACGCUGGUGUGUAGGUGAAGNUGGAGCUGAGACCAGUCGAAGAUACCAGCUGGCUGCAACUGUUUAUUAAAAACACAGCACUGUGCAAACACGAAAGUGGACGUAUACGGUGUGACGCCUGCCCGGUGCCGGAAGGUUAAUUGAUGGGGUUAUCCGUAAGGAGAAGCUCUUGAUCGAAGCCCCGGUAAACGGCGGCCGUAACUAUAACGGUCCUAAGGUAGCGAAAUUCCUUGUCGGGUAAGUUCCGACCUGCACGAAUGGCGUAAUGAUGGCCAGGCUGUCUCCACCCGAGACUCAGUGAAAUUGAACUCGCUGUGAAGAUGCAGUGUACCCGCGGCAAGACGGAAAGACCCCGUGAACCUUUACUAUAGCUUGACACUGAACAUUGAGCCUUGAUGUGUAGGAUAGGUGGGAGGCUUUGAAGCGUGGACGCCAGUCUGCGUGGAGCCAACCUUGAAAUACCACCCUUUAAUGUUUGAUGUUCUAACGUUGGCCCCUGACCGGGGUUGCGGACAGUGUCUGGUGGGUAGUUUGACUGGGGCGGUCUCCUCCCAAAGCGUAACGGAGGAGCACGAAGGUUAGCUAAUCCUGGUCGGACAUCAGGAGGUUAGUGCAAUGGCAUAAGCUAGCUUGACUGCGAGCGUGACGGCGCGAGCAGGUGCGAAAGCAGGUCAUAGUGAUCCGGUGGUUCUGAAUGGAAGGGCCAUCGCUCAACGGAUAAAAGGUACUCCGGGGAUAACAGGCUGAUACCGCCCAAGAGUUCAUAUCGACGGCGGUGUUUGGCACCUCGAUGUCGGCUCAUCACAUCCUGGGGCUGAAGUAGGUCCCAAGGGUAUGGCUGUUCGCCAUUUAAAGUGGUACGCGAGCUGGGUUUAGAACGUCGUGAGACAGUUCGGUCCCUAUCUGCCGUGGGCGCUGGAGAAUUGAGGGGGGCUGCUCCUAGUACGAGAGGACCGGAGUGGACGCAUCACUGGUGUUCGGGUUGUCAUGCCAAUGGCACUGCCCGGUAGCUAAAUGCGGAAGAGAUAAGUGCUGAAAGCAUCUAAGCACGAAACUUGCCCCGAGAUGAGUUCUCCCUGAGACUUUAAGUCUCCUGAAGGAACGUU
rnacentral:rRNA from 1 species